GGAUUUGGUAACAAGAUAAAAGCAAAGUUUGAAAUUCUAUCAUUAGGAGAUUUAGGGAAUUUAUUCUAGAUAGAUGGGAUAUAUUGUUAGGGUUAUAUUAGAGGAAGCAUAGAGGAAAAAAAAGAAAGAAAGAAUGAGAGAAAAUAGAGUAACCGUGGAGGAGUUUCGAGACAGAGUCUGGAGAUCUUUGCACCAAGGGCAUCAAGUUAGACAUAGAAUAAAAGGUUAGGGGGAGAGAUAUUUUGGCUUGAAAUAUUGGUAAGGGGAGUUAACAAUUUACCUAUAUGAUUGGUUUGUUUAUGUGCAAUAUUUAGUCUGUUCUGUUUUCUUAAAUAGCAUUCUUCAUAUGGCUUUCUUGAUCUUCUUAGUAAAGACCAAAUGCAAUAAAAAUUAAAAGGAAAAGAAUAACAUCUAGGGAACAGAUGCAAUAAAAAUAUUUCUUCAGGAGAAAGUAUAAUUAAUUAACCAUAACAUUAAAGAAGCAAUAACUUAAAAAAUACCUCUCUGAGUUGUAAGAGCUCU
rnacentral:lncRNA from 1 species